CCUUGUAUCUGCAGGGGGAGUUCAUUAUGCCUUUUCUGAAUCACUAAGAAAACAAAGAGAGCUUCUCUCUCUCUCUUAAAGAGAUAUAAAAUGGGAAGAACCUGUAUCUUCAUUUCCAUUUGACACAGAAGGGUUCAUCCAGGCUACUGACAAGGCAGUUGAUUGUAAGAUCCAAAGGCAUUUUUCUUCAUAGGUGGAGUUCAACCACAGAAGUCCCAACUCUUGGAGAUGGAAGAUGCUAGAAGCCAGAGAGGUAAAGAAAUGCUCAUGCCUGAUGCCUUCAACCAUCUAGGAGUACCCACCUGCUUUCCCAGAAAGACCUUAGGAAAAGAACAAAAGGUCACAGAGCAGGGUCUCAGCUCCAGCCUGUGUUAUGUUUGUUCCAUGAUUCAGCCUUGGCACAUCUGGAGGACUACAGAGAAGGAGUGUCAGGGACUGUCUACAAGAAGAACCAAGGAGCAUCUCAGGAUGGGCCUCAUCCUAAGGCAAAGACCAUGGAAAUAGGCUUGGAAUGAUUCAGAGCAGCCACUUGCAAUAAGGUUAUGUCCCAACUGAAUGCACAAGGUGUGAGCAACGCUGAUUCCAACCGAUCAACACAUUGGGACAUAUCACAGGCACCAGGAGAGAACCUGAGCGCUUGUCAUGACCUUUCACCCUGGUCAAGAUACCACGACCUUUCCUUGGAUUUCUGAGGUAGCCUCCUAACUGGUAUCCCUGCUUCUGCCCUUGGCCAUCUACUCUACACCCCACACAGUAACCAUAGUGAGUUUAUUAAAACAAAA